rnacentral:rRNA from 1 species
GAUGAACGCUGGCGGCGUGCUUAACACAUGCAAGUCGAACGGUGAAGGAGAGCUUGCUCUCCGGAUCAGUGGCGAACGGGUGAGUAACACGUGAGCAAUCUGCCCCUGACUCUGGGAUAAGCGCUGGAAACGGCGUCUAAUACCGGAUACGAGCUGCGAGGGCAUCUUCAGCAGCUGGAAAGAACCUCGGUCAGGGAUGAGCUCGCGGCCUAUCAGCUAGUUGGUGAGGUAAUGGCUCACCAAGGCGUCGACGAGUAGCCGGCCUGAGAGGGUGACCGGCCACACUGGGACUGAGACACGGCCCAGACUCCUACGGGAGGCAGCAGUGGGGAAUAUUGCACAAUGGGCGCAAGCCUGAUGCAGCAACGCCGCGUGAGGGACGACGGCCUUCGGGUUGUAAACCUCUUUUAGCAGGGAAGAAGCGAAAGUGACGGUACCUGCAGAAAAAGCACCGGCUAACUACGUGCCAGCCGCCGCCGUAA